rnacentral:rRNA from 1 species
CCUACGGGUGACAGCAGUGGGGAAUAUUGCACAAUGGGGGAAACCCUGAUGCAGCGACGCCGCGUGAGUGAAGAAGUAUUUCGGUACGUAAAGCUCUAUCAGCAGGGAAGAAAAUGACGGUACCUGACUAAGAAGCCCCGGCUAACUACGUGCCAGCAGCCGCGGUAAUACGUAGGGGGCAAGCGUUAUCCGGAUUUACUGGGUGUAAAGGGAGUGUAGACGGCAGCGCAAGUCUGGAGUGAAAUCCCAUGGCUUAACCAUGGAACUGCUUUGGAAACUGUGCAGCUAGAGUGCAGGAGAGGUAAGCGGAAUUCCUAGUGUAGCGGUGAAAUGCGUAGAUAUUAGGAGGAACACCAGUGGCGAAGGCGGCUUACUGGACUGUAACUGACGUUGAGGCUCGAAAGUGUGGGGAGCAAACAGGAUUAGAUACCCGUGUAGUC